rnacentral:rRNA from 1 species
GAUGAACGCUGGCGGCGUGCUUAACACAUGCAAGUCGAACGGGAUCCAAGGGGUGCUUGCACUUUUUGGUGAGAGUGGCGACCGGGUGAGUAACACGUGAGUAACCUGUCCUUUUCUUUGGGAUCAGCAUUCGAAAGGGUGUUUAAUACCUUAUGUUCUGUCUGCCUCGCAUGGGGUGGGUGGGAAAGGCUUUGGCCGGAUUUGGGUGGGCUCGCGGUCUAUCAGCUUGUUGGUGGGGUGAUGGCUUACCAAGGCUUUGACGGGUAGCCGGCCUGAGAGGGUGGUCGGUCACAUUGGGACUGAGAUACGGCCCAGACUCCUGCGGGAGGCAGCAGUGGGGGAUAUUGCACAAUGGGCGAAAGCCUGAUGCAGCGACGCCGCGUGGGGGAUGAAGGCCUUCGGGUUGUAAACUUCUUUUGCUCUGAACAAGGCAUGCCAGUGGGUGUGUUGAGUGUAGGGGUUGAUUAGCGCCGGCUAACUACGUG